CCCCAGCCCGGGUAGCAGUGAAAACCCCGCAGGCCUUCAAGCUAAUUUUUCUUUGCUUUUCGGGGCGACCAACAGAAGCCACGAAAAAGCAGUAGAAAAAUAGCUUGAAGGCCGAGGAGUUGCAACGGAUGACCGGAUAAGCU
rnacentral:sRNA from 1 species